rnacentral:rRNA from 1 species
UGCCGCGUGCAGGAAGAAGGCCUUCGGGUUGUAAACUGCUUUUGUCAGGGAAGAAAUCUUCUGGGCUAAUACCCUGGGAGGAUGACGGUACCUGAAGAAUAAGCACCGGCUAACUACGUGCCAGCAGCCGCGGUAAUACGUAGGGUGCAAGCGUUAAUCGGAAUUACUGGGCGUAAAGCGUGCGCAGGCGGUUAUGCAAGACAGAUGUGAAAUCCCCGGGCUCAACCUGGGAACUGCAUUUGUGACUGCAUAGCUGGAGUGCGGCARAGGGGGAUGGAAUUCCRCGUGUARCAGUGAAAUGCGUAGAUAUGCGGAGGAACACCGAUGGCGAARGCAAUCCCCUGGGCCUGCACUGACGCUCAUGCACGAAAGCGUGGGGAGCAAACAGGAUUAGAUACCCUGGUAGUCCACGCCCUAAACGAUGUCAACUGGUUGUUGGGAAGGUUCCUUCUCAGUAACGUASCUAACGCGUGAAGUUGACCGCCUGGGGAGUAC